AUGCCAGAAAUAGAUAAAGAAGUGAUCCGAAAGGCUUUUUUAUGGUUGUCUUUACAUCCAGUCCUGUGGCCAGAUC
rnacentral:tRNA from 1 species